rnacentral:lncRNA from 1 species
CCACUCCUGAGCUUAGUGGGUUUCUAAGAAAAUAGAAUUGAAAGAAGAACUUGAAUCAGAAAUAAAAGGAAUUCUCUCACCACAUUUUUCAGGGACUCAAGAAAGCAAAAUUUCAUCAGAAUAGAUUUGAGAAAACAAUAUCCAAUCAGGUGGAUUUGAUUCACUUAUUCAUUUUAUAGUUGCAUUUUCAAAUUUGAAGAAUUUUGCAUUAUUCCUAGUUUUUAAUUUGGACUGAAUAUAGUCCUAAGAGAUCUGAAAAACAGAUAUAUUUUGAAGAUUGGCUUAUACAUUCAUAGGAAACCCAGGAAGUGAGUAGACACUAAAUCCUAGAGAUAAUGAAGUUUUCUAACUGAAACAGCUUGUUUUCUUAGUAAAUUCAGACUGACAAUGGAAAGCAAAAUAAACUGAAACGUCAGAAUUGAGAGAGCCGUCUAGAGAAUUCCAGCAUCCCACUUGUCAGCUGGUAGAGUCUAUUUGUGGCCGUGUUCCACGCCUGCAGGAGAAGAAAGCGGUGACCACACUCAAUCUAAAAUGGAGGAAUCCACAAUCAGCUAGAUCCAGCAUGAAGCAGGAAGAAACAUCUGCCAUAUCAAGCAUACCUAUGAUUCCACACCCUCAAAUGGCUCCUGAGUUGGUCAAUCUUCUAUAAACAGAAGUCUAGGCAAAGAGUGGGAUUCCUGAGUAAUUGCUUUCCGGUUCCUGUACAAACUUGGCUCCCUCUAGCGGCAAAAUGGAGCAAAGCAACAGGGGUUAAAGAGGGCUGCAGUCCGCUGUUGGGUUGGAGAGAGGAAUCAGCACCCCUGAAAGAAGUGCUGACAAUUUGUUCUUCCUGGCUCUUCUCUUCAUCAUCCCAAGUCAUCAUCACCACCAUUCCUUGGUCCUUCAAAAGUUCCUGGUCUUUCCUGCUUGGUGUCCAUUUUGUCACACUUUAUCAAGAGGUCCUGAGGUGGGAAAAACCCUGAAAGCUGACUUAGGGACCUGUGUUCCAGUCCUCGCCCUGCUCUGGAGUUAAAGUGUAAGUUUCAGUAAAUCCCUCGACCGCUCCACAUU